AGUGAACGCUGGCGGUAGGCCUAACACAUGCAAGUCGAACGGCAGCACAGUAAGAGCUUGCUCUUACGGGUGGCGAGUGGCGGACGGGUGAGGAAUACAUCGGAAUCUACUUUUUCGUGGGGGAUAACGUAGGGAAACUUACGCUAAUACCGCAUACGACCUACGGGUGAAAGCAGGGGAUCUUCGGACCUUGCGCGAUUGAAUGAGCCGAUGUCGGAUUAGCUAGUUGGCGGGGUAAAGGCCCACCAAGGCGACGAUCCGUAGCUGGUCUGAGAGGAUGAUCGGCCACACUAGAACUGAGACACGGUCCAGGCUCCUACGGGAGGCAGCAGUGGGGAAUAUUGGACAGUGGGCGCAAGCCUGAUCCAGCCAUACCGCGUGGGUGGAGGAGGCCUUCGGGUUGUGAAGCCCUUUUGUUGGGAGAGAAAAGCAGCAGGUUAAUACGCCGCUGUUCUGACGGUACCCAAAGAAUAAGCACCGGCUAACUUCGUG
rnacentral:rRNA from 1 species